rnacentral:rRNA from 1 species
GGCGAACGGGUGAGUAACACGUGGGUGAUCUGCCCUGCACUCUGGGAUAAGCCUGGGGAACUGGGUCUAAUACCGGAUAUGACCAACUGUCGCAUGGUGGUUGGUGGAAAGCUUUUGCGGUGUGGGAUGGGCCCGCGGCCUAUCAGCUUGUUGGUGGGGUAAUGGCCUACCAAGGCGACGACGGGUAGCCGACCUGAGAGGGUGAUCGGCCACACUGGGACUGAGACACGGCCCAG